rnacentral:rRNA from 1 species
UAGCGAAGCUCUUGAUCGAAGCCCGAGUAAACGGCGGCCGUAACUAUAACGGUCCUAAGGUAGCGAAAUUCCUUGUCGGUUAAAUACCGACCUGCAUGAAUGGCGUAACGAGAUGGGAGCUGUCUCAAAGAGGGAUCCAGUGAAAUUGUAGUGGAGGUGAAAAUUCCUCCUACCCGCGGCAAGACGGAAAGACCCCGUGGACCUUUACUACAGCUUGACACUGCUAUUUGGAUAAGAAUGUGCAGGAUAGGUGGGAGGCUUUGAGUAUAUGACGCCAGUUGUAUAGGAGCCAUUGUUGAGAUACCACUCUUUCUUAUUUGGGUAGCUAACCAGCUUGAGUUAUCCUCAAGUGGGACAAUGUCUGGUGGGUAGUUUGACUGGGGCGGUCGCCUCCCAAAUAAUAACGGAGGCUUACAAAGGUUGGCUCAGAACGGUUGGAAAUCG